rnacentral:antisense_RNA from 1 species
GUAGCAAAAGGGUUUUUGUUUCUCUUUUUUUUUUAAGAAAAAAAUGGGGGGCCUAGAAAAAAAGCUUACAAGUCUUGUUUCAGGAAAGCAGCUGGAACAUUAAUGGCAAUUCCACUUUCCCAUUCAUCGCCCCCGCCCCCACCAUCCCACCAAGAAACUCAGUGGGAAUGAAUGGUCUACACAGAGAAACUGAAAUCUGGUUAGUCAAGAAGGAAAAAACAGCCAAGUGCCUAGAAUUAAGAGGAUUUUUUUUUUAAGCUCAGCCUACGGACAACAAAAGCAUGGACUGUAUUUCCCAGCAUCUUUCGCACUUGAACAAGAUUAUUUUUUCCUUGAAAAUUGACAUGGAUGGUCUGCCACUGUGGGCUUUAUCUUCAACAUUGUCUCAACCCUUCUUAUUAAUAACAUGAGUUAUCCACUUGUAAACUGCUGAUUUCUUUGGGGCAUUGUCACCAUAAACAUUUGAUAAGGCAUCAGUGAUUCCAACAUUCUUCACCCAAGCUUCACCAUAAAUUUGAUGUUUCUUUUUGCUUCAUUUUAGCAGAAUUUGCUCCAAUAGGGGCUCUUUUCGAACUCUUUUUUUUUUUCCAUUUUUUUCACUGGGAUUUUGAGAAAAUCAAACUGGAUAGCCUUCUUAGUGCCUCAAACUAGAUCCUGUUCAGACACAAACAAGUU